AACUGGGGGAGCGCUCCCAGCGCCAGAGCCCAGGGGCCCUGAGCAGGGCCCCAGAGGGAAGAGCUCUCUACUCCAGAGGGUCACCCCUCCCUAGCACUCACACUGGGGCGGACGGUCCUAGUUCGGGUGCUAAAAUGGUCUCUGAGUGUCCUAGGUCCGGUGGGGUUUCACCUGUUAGAGAGCGCCUUCUGAGCACGCAGACCCCCCAUGGGGGCGCAUGAGGGAAGUGAAGAAGCCUGAACCCAACACGGAGACCAGAGGGAAUUUCCAGCUUCCUGACCCUCAGACUUGGCGUCCCCAGUCCCCACCCCUGCCUGGGUUUCCAGUUGCUGCUUAUUUUUCUGAAGCAGCGAGCCCAAGUCCACAGUCCACGUGGUGCUCAGGUUGGAGAGGUGGUAAAGGCCACCCAAGAAAUGAAAAAACAAUCCCGUUCAUUCAUCCUAACUGAUCACCUUGCGCCAUGAACCAAGCUUUCGCUAGGAUUGGAGUACAUGUUCUGAGGUCCAUAGGUUCACCAGAAAUGGGUUAAAGUCACAUUUCCACCUGGUAAGGCCAUGGUGGAAGUGGCCUGUCCCUCACCAUAGAACCCUGCCCUCUGCCCUGUCGUUUCCCCUCCCACCCCGAGAUCUCACCCAUACAGUCCGUUUUCCUGCCAUGCUGACCACACCACCGACCAGCUUCACCACACAUUUCUCAAGGCCCAAGGCACCACGUGCAUAAAUUGUCCAGCUAAGGACAAGAGAGAUGCAAGAAUAGUUUUUUUCGAGAAGCAAGGUGGCAUACUGAGUUUGAAAGGAGACACACCUUGAUUCAUAUCCCCACUCUGUGCUGGCUGAUCUUAGAAGCAACGUCCCGCCUCUCUGUGCUCUCCCGGGUGAAGUAUGAAGGCCGUUCGCCCGCCAGGCUUGUUGAGAAGACAGGAGAGAACUACCUCGCCUGACACCCAGUAACCGCAAAAAAGGGCCCUUCUAGGAACCACAAUGGCAAGCACGAGCCUCGCCUCGUCUGCAAACACCGGGAGCACUUCAUCCUGCAGCAGAAGGAACAGGAAUCCAAAUUCUGCUCCUGUCACGGAGACCUGUACAUUUAAGGGGAGAUGUCGCUGAGAUGAAUGCAUGAAAGUUGAGGCUCUCCAGAGUUCAUUUGGAUGACAGCUUCAG